UCCCGGUUGCCCGGGCAGUCUCGCGUGAAAAGUUCAACACACGACAAGGGUUGCGCUCGUUGCGGGACUUAACCCAACAUCUCACGACACGAGCUGACGACGGCCAUGCAGCACCUGUCACCGAUCCAGCCGAACUGACUCUCUUGUUUCCAAGAGAUACGAUCGGGAUGUCAAGCCUCGGUAAGGUUCUUCGCGUAGCAUCGAAUUAAACCACAUGUUCCACUGCUUGUGCGGGUCCCCGCCAAUUCCUUUGAGUUUUAGCCUUGCGGCCGUACUCCCCAGGCGGCACACUUAACGCGUUAGCUACGCAGCACAAAGGGUCGAUACUUCAUACUGCUAGUGUGCAUCGUUUACAGCGUGGACUAC
rnacentral:misc_RNA from 1 species